UAGAGAUAGGGCUUCCCCUUCGGGGGCAGAGUGACAGGUGGUGCAUGGUUGUCGUCAGCUCGUGUCGUGAGAUGUUGGGUUAAGUCCCGCAACGAGCGCAACCCUUGAUCUUAGUUGCCAGCAUUCAGUUGGGCACUCUAAGGUGACUGCCGGUGACAAACCGGAGGAAGGUGGGGAUGACGUCAAAUCAUCAUGCCCCUUAUGACCUGGGCUACACACGUGCUACAAUGGGCAGAACAAAGGGCAGCGAAGCCGCGAGGCUAAGCCAAUCCCACAAAUCUGUUCUCAGUUCGGAUCGCAGUCUGCAACUCGACUGCGUGAAGCUGGAAUCGCUAGUAAUCGAGCGUUGUCCGGAAUUAUUGGGCGUAAAGCGCGCGCAGGCGGUUUCUUAAGUCUGAUGUGAAAGCCCCCGGCUCAACCGGGGAGGGUCAUUGGAAACUGGGGAACUUGAGUGCAGAAGAGGAGAGUGGAAUUCCACGUGUAGCGGUGAAAUGCGUAGAGAUGUGGAGGAACACCAGUGGCGAAGGCGACUCUCUGGUCUGUAACUGACGCUGAGGCGCGAAAGCGUGGGGAGCGAACAGGAUUAGAUACCCUGGUAGUCCACGCCGUAAACGAUGAGUGCUAAGUGUUAGAGGGUUUCCGCCCUUUAGUGCUGCAGCAAACGCAUUAAGCACUCCGCCUGGGGAGUACGGUCGCAAGACUGAAACUCAAAGGAAUUGACGGGGGCCCGCACAAGCGGUGGAGCAUGUGGUUUAAUUCGAAGCAACGCGAAGAACCUUACCAGGUCUUGACAUCCUCUGACAACCC
rnacentral:rRNA from 1 species